rnacentral:rRNA from 1 species
AGUGAACGCUGGCGGUAGGCCUAACACAUGCAAGUCGAACAGCAGCACAGUAAGAGCUUGCUCUUACGGGUGGCGAGUGGCGGACGGGUGAGGAAUACAUCGGAAUCUACUUUUUCGUGGGGGAUAACGUAGGGAAACUUACGCUAAUACCGCAUACGACCUACGGGUGAAAGCAGGGGAUCUUCGGACCUUGCGCGAUUGAAUGAGCCGAUGUCGGAUUAGCUAGUUGGCGGGGUAAAGGCCCACCAAGGCGACGAUCUGUAGCUGGUCUGAGAGGAUGAUCAGCCACACUGGAACUGAGACACGGUCCAGACUCCUACGGGAGGCAGCAGUGGGGAAUAUUGGACAAUGGGCGCAAGCCUGAUCCAGCCAUACCGCGUGGGUGAAGAAGGCCUUCGGGUUGUAAAGCCCUUUUGUUGGGAAAGAAAAGCAGCAGGUUAAUACCCCGCUGUUCUGACGGUACCCAAAGAAUAAGCACCGGCUAACUUCGUG